CGAGCCCUGGUCCGGGAAGAUCCCAAAUGCCGCGGAGCAGCUAAGCCCGUGCGCCACAACUACUGAGCUUGCGCUCUAGAGCCUGCGAGCCACAGCUACUGAAGCCCGCGCGCCUAGGGCCUGUGCUCCACAAGAGAAGCCGCCGCAAUGAGAAGCACAUGCACCGCAACGAAGAGUAGCCCCCACUUGCCGCGACUAGAGAAAGCCCGCGUGCAGCAACGAAGAUCCAACGCAGCCAAAAAUAAUAAAUAAAUAAAUAAAAAUCUCUUAUUACAGAAUGUUCUUGCCGCUCCAACUUGCAGCUCAGGAAGGAAGAGAAGGCACAGCCAUGCGAAGGCAUCCACUUUCCAAAGAGAAAAACAAAUUAAAUUUCCACUUUUCUACAGAAGCACCAAACCUGGAGUCACUUACAGCCAAGGCACGGACACGCGCAUCUCUAAAGGAGCGCCGAGCUCUCUCAGAGCCAAAUCCCACCUCCGGAGACUGACGACGCUCCGAAGUCACCGGGAGCUGGAACCCAUCUCUACGCACAUCGAUCUGCGUUUUGAUUCCAGUCAUGUUCUCCACCAGCCGAGGAAAGCGUUCAAGAGAUACUUAACCUCACUGGUCUGGCAGCUUAUCCAAGGAGACUUCUUUUUCUCCUGCUUGCUACGGAGUGCGUAUUAGGCCACUGGAGGGAAAAGAGUGGACAACGUGGUAAAAGCUGGAGGCCAAUGCCAGAACCACUGGGAUGUGCAGGGUGAUACCCGCCUGCCCACUGGGCCAAGAAACCGAAAGCCUGCGUUCUAGCCCCAAACCUCGUCUGCCAGCGCUCAGCCAACAAAU